GAUCUGAUGGAGGAGAGAGCCUUGCGAGGACAAGAAGCCUCAUGGACGGUGACCUGAAGGAGCUCAAAGGGUGCUUGGACUUAGGGUUCGGCUUCAGCUACGACGAGAUCCCGGGGCUCUGCGCCAUGUUGCCUGCUCUUGAGCUUUGCUACUCCAUGAGUCGAUUGCUGGGUGGUGGCGCAGGCAAUGCCGGCGAGGACGCGGACGAAUCUUAUGAGGCGAUCACUGCCCUUCCCGUUGCGAACUAGAAGAUCUCUAGCCCUGGUAAGAGGGGAUUUUAUAAUCUAAUAAAAAUAAAAUAAAAUUCACUUAUGCUGGAGCUUGCUUGUUGUUUUUGGUUGGGAUCUUGCUCAAAGUGCUGAGUUUGAUUGUAUGAUUGGGGUUUACAAUUUGGAAGAUCCUUCUAAAGGUGACCAAUGAGAUUUAGUUGCUGAUGAAAAAUUGGUUAAUUGUGUUACAGAUCCUCGUGGUGGUGAUUUACAAAUUUGAAACUUCCCCCUAACAAGACGAACUAUAGGGAUUAACUUUUCAUCUCUCUUUUCAAUAUUCCUGUUUAAAUCUUUGGUCUAAGUGCUUUCUAUCCUUGUAUCCUGGUAAUUGUCGCUCAAUAUUAUUAUUAUAUCUGAUCAAGUUACUCUAAAUGUUUCCUGCCAGACUUUUAAUUUUUUUCAGGGUUUACUUGAUACUUUACCCCUUGUUUCUAAUGAUUCUACCGCUCGAAGUACAUUAUGGUCUAUCCUGCAAAGGGUGUUUUGCCUAGCUGACGAAAAUGACGAUGGUUCACUGGACUCAUCGAUGCAAUGAUUAUAGAAAAUAAGGAUCUUCCUAUAGUAAGAUUUUUUAUUGAUAUAUGUUUCUAAUUUGUAAAUACAAGAAGACAUCUUAUCAAGUGCCAAUUACAGUGAUGGUUAGUGAAUUUCCCCGUGUUUGAACAUGUUAUGUUUUGAUAAAUAUCGAGCAAAGUUCUAUACAUCAAUUAUCACCUCUGGGAUUUAAUCUAUGAUUUCUAUGUUUUAAUUUCUCUAUAUCUAAUAUUUUAUCUUUUAGAAACUUAUUGUUUAUGGUAAAUUUAGUGAAUUAAUGGAUGCUAGUUUAAUUGCCGCAGACAUUUGAAAUAUUAUAUUAUGAGAUAUUGGAUAUUUCCUCUUCCUGAAUUGCAAGGUUUGAAAACUCUAAAAGUAGCAUUCCACCAUGCCACAAAAGAGGAGGUUGGGUUGAUCCUUCUAUUCUUUAUAUAUUCUUAUUUUGUGAAAUUUUCUUAUAACUUAGAUGUUUUAGUUUUAGGUGGCAAUUCACAGCAUUCGACUUCCAAAAAAUAGCACUAUGGCAUGAAGCCAAUAUUUUCUACAUACACUUAGAAUUCCUCUCUUGUUUAGUUGUUUGACAUUUUAACCUUCAUCUUACUUUUUAUCCAUGCAGAUCUUUCUUCCUGGUGAGAAGAUUGAGAACAUUAAUGAUCAGUACUGCACGGUGAGUUUGUAUUGGGGAUAUUUUUACAUUUAUCUAAAAUUUAUUGUUUACAUGCUCUAUUGUGUUGUUUCAUCUAUGUUAGGAGACCUAUCAUUUUCAAGGUAAACUUGUACGAUUUUGUGUCAAAUAUUGUGAUUUAAUGAUAUCUUAUGAUUGAUUGGAUUUGAUUAUUCUCCUUGUAGAUUCCAGAAGAAGUGAAAAACCUUGGGCCUCACGAUCGUUUGAUUCGUGUUUACCAUUUUAAUAGAGAUCCUAAUCAGAACCAAAUGAUAAGUAUAAUGUGUUUGACUUGUGCUAUUUUUUGGAGCUUUGAAUAAAAUAGAUGCAUUUAUCUUUUGGUAAUAACUACCAUAUGAUGUAUUUUAUAUUCUCUGCCAACAAAUUCUUGUGUGAUUUCUUUUUUAUCUGUACUGAAACUUUUUCCCAUUCUUACUUAAUUGCUUUGUAUAGAUAUCCACAUGCUUUACUCUCUAUGCACUGACAGAGACAUAUUUCCAAUUACUUUAUUAUAUACGAUAAAGGAUUAUCCCAAAAACUAGAGUAGUUAGAUAAUUGCAUUAUUAUACAUAUCCAUGAUUACUUUUUACCUCUCUAUAUAUCUUGUGAAGACAAACCUCCCAAAGAACUUCACGUUUUUUGUUUUUUUUGUAGCAAGUUUAGGAUCAUUAGUCAUUAAGGAAGGUGAAACUUUAGCCAAUGUCAAGAUAUGCAUUCAGAAGAAACUGUAAGUUCCCGAUGACGAAUUUUCAAAGUUUGUUAAGGAUCUAAAAAAGGCUGGCAUGAAAGAAUCUCAGCAAGUGAGAAAGAGGAGUCUAAUGAAAUCCUACAAGUUGAAGAUUGUGAUGGGACAAUAAUUAAGUGCAAUUCUACAUGGCAUGAACCAUCAUCACAAGUUUCUAGUCUUUUGGCUAUUGUUCAU